UCCCUCUUAGCUCAGUGGUAGAGCGCGUCACUAGUACUGAAAUUCCAUAUCGCGUAUGUAAUGACGAGGUCAGUCGUUCAAGUCGGCUAGAGGGAA